rnacentral:tRNA from 1 species
GGAGGUAUAGCUCAGUGGUAGAGCAUUCGGCUGCAGAUAGAAAUGUCCCCAGAUCAAACCUGGGUGCCCCA